GGAAGAGUGAAUGCUACAAAUCUGUAUCUGUAGACCACCCACGCGGGCCAUGGAUUACCCAGGACUCUGACGUUCGUGGAACUGUGGCAGAGUCUUCUUCCGGUAGGGUCUUCUCUGAGUGUGGGUGUGAAACGGUGGCUGGAUCUGAGGUCUCUCCCACUCAGGAAGCACCUGCAGCUCCUCAAGGCCCCAGGGGCCCAGGCUUGGCUACUGUUCCAGGCCCCGGUGUGUUGCCUCUGGCCUCUGUCACUUGUUUAACAUCCAUCUCAUACAUGAUUAUGUUCUGAUUACCUUGAGCUGUGUUUGUAGACCGUGGGAACAACCCUCUGAUUGACUCAGUCCUCAAACCUGGUCACUUCCAUGAAAAUAUCUGUCAGCUGAGUUCACCUAGCUCCUCCAGAUUUCUACUUAGUAAGGAUACUUUUCCUUUAUAUGGUGCAUUUCAAUUUACAAAUAUAUAAUAUAAAUUUGAAUCUAACAUAGAUAAAAUCCAGUUUUUUAUUUGGAGAUGAGGAAGCUGACUUUGAGUGUGAUUCACUCAAGUCCAUACAGAUGGUUAACGUCAAGGCCAGAGCAAAGUUCAUGUUUCUCAAUAAUAGCUCAAACAUAUUGAGUUGAGAAAACAGACUAAAUAUAUUCUAGUCUUAUCAAGCUGGACUCAUAUUACAGUGGAGAUCAUUGAGUCUUAGAGAACUUGAGUAAUUUGUCCAAAUUUGAAUGGAUAAUGGCAUGGAACUGGGUUCAAGCUCUUGUUGAUGGCUACAGAGUCCACCAUUGUAUUACUGGAUUCUGCUGCCUCAGUCUAUCUUCUAACACCUGGUACUGUGCUUUUAACUUCUUCCGGUCCCCAUCCAGGUCUAUAAAGGAAGCAGAGAAGGACCUAUUAUUGCAAUUUUGCAAGUGAGGAAAUUGAGGGUCAAAAAAGAUGGCCGUCAAGGAAAGAGCUGGAUGUCACCCCCAGGUCUCCUGGCAACCAGACUCCAGAGCUCUUGUUAUUUUGAGGAAGAGGGAUGAGAUUCAGCUCUCAAGCAUGACACUUCAGAUCAAGGGACUUAACUCUUUUCCAAGCCCAAGACACCAAGAAUGUCAAGUACUUUGGGAGUCCUUGUGUUUUGAGGCUCAAACAUCAGAUAACUGAACACCAAGGUGUUUAUUGAAGUGAGCCAGUUGCAUUGUUUUCUGACUCUGGCAGGAAAAAUAAAGUGGAGUUACUCUCUAAAUAAACUUUACUG
rnacentral:lncRNA from 1 species